GGAGAGAGGCAGUGUGGCCGAGAGAAGAGAUAAGGGGGGAGAGGGAGAUUUCCCUAUAUACAAAAGUUGUGAUUUUCAAAGAUCUAACGGUCCAAUCUUCAAUCCGUCUUUAAAAACGUAAUCCUAGCACUCGGAUCUACGUUUCUACCGAUCGUUUUGAGGCUUUGUGUUAUUUGGAGCUUGCAAAGAUUCUCCAAACACCGGGUAUUAUUUGAAUAAAUUUUUGGUAAUGCAUUGCAUGGUGGUGUCUAGGAGACCUAGUGCUUAAUAUCCGCGCAGCCAAGAUAUUGAUGCUUUGGUUGCAGGUUCUGCGGAUAUAGAUAUUGACUCGUUCACCUAGUGUAUGGGAUGCUAUGAUUGGAGCACAUCGCGACAGUCAUAAGUUAUGGACUCAUGGGUAGUUCGUAUUUUGGGUAUUCUAUUUUUAUGGCUCGUGUUUUACGUGGCUUAUGUAUUUAUUGAGCCCGUAUUUUAGUAUGUAAUUAGUGUAAUAUGUUUUAUAAACCUUAAAUAGAUAGACUCGUAAAUGGCUCUCGUUGUUGUAAUUAACAGUUAUGUAUUAGAUGUAUUUCCGCUUAUGAUGUGUUCCGUUGCAUAUUGAUAUUUAUAUUCCGCUGUGUUAAA